CCUACGGGAGGCAGCAGUGGGGAAUCUUGCGCAAUGGGCGAAAGCCUGACGCAGCAACGCCGCGUGCGGGAAGAAGGCUCUCGGGUUGUAAACCGCUUUCAGCAGGAACGAAAAUGACGGUACCUGCAGAAGAAGGAGCGGCCAACUACGUGCCAGCAGCCGCGGUGACACGUAGGCUCCAAGCGUUGUCCGGAUUUAUUGGGCGUAAAGAGCUCGUAGGCGGUUCGGUAAGUCGGGUGUGAAAACUUUGGGCUUAACCCAAAGCGUGCACCCGAUACUGCUGUGACUAGAGUUCGGUAGGGGAGCGGGGAAUUCCUAGUGUAGCGGUGAAAUGCGCAGAUAUUAGGAGGAACACUGGUGGCGAAGGCGCCGCUCUGGGCCGAUACUGACGCUGAGGAGCGAAAGCGUGGGUAGCAAACAGGAUUAGAUACCCUGGUAGU
rnacentral:rRNA from 1 species